AUUGAACGCUGGCGGCAGGCCUAACACAUGCAAGUCGAGCGGAGCGGCUGACGGGUGAGUGAGGCCUAUGAAUCUGCCUGGUAGUUGGGGAUGACGUCCGGAAAGGGACGCUAUUAUCACAUCCUAUCCGAUGAGCCUGGGUGGGAUUAGCUAGUUGGUUGGGUAAAGGCCUACCAAGCCGACGAUCCCUAGCUGGUCUGAGAGGAUGAUCAGUCACUCUGGAACUGAGACACGGUCCAGACUCCUACGGGAGGCAGCAGUGGGGAAUAUUGGACAAUGGGCGAAAGCCUGAUACAGCCAUGCCGCGUGGAUGAAGAAGGUCUUCGGGUUGUAAAGCACUUUCAGUUGGGAGGCGUUACCAACAGAAGAAGCACCGGCUAACUCCGUGCCAGCAGCCGCGGUAAUUC
rnacentral:rRNA from 1 species